AAAGCUGAAGAAUGAUCCAAAUAAUCAAAGCAUUCUCGGCCAGAUAAAGAAAAUUCAGGUGCACAUCGUAACUUUGGGAAAAUGCCAGAAUCAGAUCGUGCAGCGGCUGCGCAAAGAGGUAGAGUCCAAGGCAGACAACGCGAACGGAUCGAAAAUUUCUAUCCCGUCUCUCUCGGCCUGAACAACAACAA